UCUCUCUCUCUCUCUCUGCACUUCCUCUCCUUUGUGCAUCUUGGACUCCUGAAGGCCACUCAGAGCAUAGAUGCGCCAGCUUAGCUCUUUGGAGAAGCAGAGUGGAGUCCUAGAAAGGGAGGCUGGGUCUUACCGUUGAGGUCGGUGCCGGUAGAGGAUGGGUGGAAGUCUGCAGGAGCCAAGCACCCUCAAGAAGAGGAAGAGCGCACGUUGCAGAGAUCUGAACAGCGAUCUGAGAGGUCAGACUGGACUCAGGCCUCCUCAAGAAGCAACAGAAAUUCCUCCCUUUCCUCCGGUCCUACGGUCUUUCUCCGGAAGAGCUGCUCUGGUCAGCUCUGGGCUAAGGGCAGUAGCCAAAGAGAAGGGGAAAGUAGGUUGAGAGCACCGGAUUCCGAGCCCAGCAGAGAGCGGUUUCUAGGCCCCACCCACCCUCUCCCCAAGGUUUUCUUAAAAGUGAAUCUUGGCGUGGUUUUUGCAGACACCCAGGAGAGGAAUCUAGAGAGCGCAUUUUGUUCUGUUUUGCUUUAAUAGUAAGUAGCAUGUCCUGUUAAACACCCUAGUAGCCCCACCCCCACCUCCGCGCUUCUCCCACAACCUCUCUGGGUAAGAGUCUUUCCGGAGCGCCUAGAAAACUAAAAAUAACAAGCCAUGCUCAAGGUCCGGAGAAGCCACCGGCCACCUCUACAGGAUGGGGACGCUGCCCGUGAAAGGUCAUCACUUUCUUCGCCCUGACAACCUGACUGCAAAACCCAAGCAGCUGAUUCUUCCCUUCCUUUGAGCCCAGGAUCCAAGUCCGAAAUAGAUGGGGAGGCCCCAACCCUAAGGCCAUGAGGAAAAAGCGGCUCCUCAGUGACCCGUAUGGCCACCGUGACUAUCCUUCGAGUAGACUACUUUGGUCGAGUCUAGAUGCCACACUUUGAAUGCCUUCCAGUUUUCCCCCUCUCGAGUCUAGUUUUUGCAAAGAAAUGAGAUGGGACCAUCAGACUCUGCCUAUGUUGCUGCCAUCUGGUGUGCGAGCAGUCUCCAACUUGUGCUGAGAAGCACGGCUGCACACACUUAGGGGUAAACCUAUGAAGCCAACCCCACCCACCUCCGCCAAUGUUUUUAGGUUUUUGCCUGUUGCUCUUAGGGACCCAGGGGCAGAGUUUUGCCUUAGGAGCUGAAGACAGCUGUUGGAGCCUGUUGCUUUUUCACACCACAGAUACUUCAGGCUGGCUAAUGCUUUACCUAGCCAACCUAGGGGAAUUGGAUCUGUCUCUCCUGGGACUAAGAGAAUAGUGUCUCUAAGAAGAAAACAGUUCUAAUUCAAAGAUACUAGAUCUGGUGACAGCACAAGUGCUGGCUUCCUUUAAAGCCUGAAGUCACUCAAGUGGCCAUAGAACUAUGGGUCCAGAGGGCUGCCAGUCUAAGCCAGCUAGGUACUGAUCGGUUGGCCCUGUCUUUUGGCUGGAGAGAGGCUGUAAGCCUGCUUGGGGACUAGAAUAGAUUAAUAAGAAGCCCAUUAAAAACUGUAAACAGAUGAAAUGGCAAGGAGGAGAGCGCUGGAGAUUGUUUAGGUGUGAACUGAGGUUUCUGCGUUCGUACUGGGGAUGCCUUUGUACACAGUGAGGAGCCCCCAACCCAAGUUGCUCUUGUUUUGCACAGAUAGCCCCCACCCUGCUUGCACCAUGGGUCUCAGUAGGGGCCGAGGGUGUAGGUGCUUGGGCUUUUUUUUUGGGGGGGGGGGGUGAAGGGGCACUCAGAAUCAACAAGACAGGGAUGGAAAAUCAAAACCAUCCAAGGAACCAGCCUUCCAUUUCUGAAAAGCUGCGCUCUGGCCCCGGCUUCAGUUUUGAAAUACGAAUAAAUGGAGUCAGAUCCCGUACUACACUCCGGGGACAGAGUUUUAAUGUAAACGUAAAAUAUGCUUGUAAUAAUCACUUGUGGGCCCUGAAGCGCCACUAGAAUCUCUGUUUAAUUAUAGGGCGUGAGAGGAGUAUUACCAGCUAAUUAAACCCCAUCCUAUUUGUAAUUCCCUCUCUGCUGCUGCCGACUUUUAAAUGCGAAAUCGCUCUUUCAUU
ensembl:lincRNA